AGAUUUCCUACAAGCAUCAUUGUUCUAUCCAUAUCUUCUAAGGUCCUAUUUUUUUUCUACUACUCCAUUUUGUUAAGGUGCUAUAGGAGAAGAGAAGUUGUGAUCUAUACUAUUUCAACAACAACAACAACAACAAACCCAGUGUAUUCCCACUUAGUGGGGUCUGGGGGGGUAAGAUGUACGCAGUCCAUACCUCUACCUCUGAUGAAGUAGAAAGGAUGUUUCCGAAAGACCCCGGCUCAAGGCACAAGAUAUCACACAAACACAUAGUAAAGCACAGAAGCAGAUGACAUAACAUAAAUACGGCACCCAUAAGGAAUAUAAAACAGAGGAAAGCAGAGGAAAGCACACAGAUUCGUAAUAAGCAUGGAACACUGAAUACGGAAUCAUAACGGGAAUAAAAAAUAAAAAAAAACCCCACCAAGUAAUUCCCUA
rnacentral:lncRNA from 1 species